AUUGAACGCUGGCGGCAUGCCUUACACAUGCAAGUCGAACGGUAACAGGUCUUCGGAUGCUGACGAGUGGCGAACGGGUGAGUAAUACAUCGGAACGUGCCCAGACGUGGGGGAUAACGAGGCGAAAGCUUUGCUAAUACCGCAUACGAUCUAAGGAUGAAAGCAGGGGACCGCAAGGCCUUGCGCGUUUGGAGCGGCCGAUGGCAGAUUAGGUAGUUGGUGGGAUAAAAGCUUACCAAGCCGACGAUCUGUAGCUGGUCUGAGAGGACGACCAGCCACACUGGGACUGAGCCACGGCCCAGACUCCCACGGGAGGCAGCAGUGGGGAAUUUUGGACAAUGGGCGAAAGCCUGAUCCAGCAAUGCCGCGUGCAGGAUGAAGGCCUUCGGGUUGUAAACUGCUUUUGUACGGAACGAAAAGGCUCUGGCUAAUACCUGGGGCACAUGACGGUACCGUAAGAAUAACCACCGGCUAACUACGUG
rnacentral:rRNA from 1 species